CAGUCGCCGCGGGAAAACGUAGGUGGCAAGCGUUGUCCGGAAUUAUUGGCGUAAAGCGCGCGCAGGCGGAUCAGUUAGUCUGUCUUAAAAGUUCGGGGCUUAACCCCGUGAGGGGAUGGAAACUGCUGAUCUAGAGUAUCGGAGGGGAAAGUGGAAUUCCUAGUGUAGCGGUGAAAUGCGUAGAUAUUAGGAAGAACACCAGUGGCGAAGGCGACUUUCUGGACGAAAACUGACGCUGAGGCGCGAAAGCCAGGGGAGCGAACGGGAUUAGAUACCCCAGUAGUCCCUGUCUCUUAUACAC
rnacentral:rRNA from 1 species